CUGCAGUGAUGACCAAUUAGGACACCUUUGAUUCUCCAUGAAGACGACUUUAUAAAUCUGAGCAGC